rnacentral:rRNA from 1 species
CCUACGGGAGGCAGCAGUGGGGAAUAUUGGACAAUGGGCGCAAGCCUGAUCCAGCAAUGCCGCGUGAGUGAUGAAGGCCUUAGGGUUGUAAAGCUCUUUUACCAGGGAUGAUAAUGACAGUACCUGGAGAAUAAGCUCCGGCUAACUCCGUGCCAGCAGCCGCGGUAAUACGGAGGGAGCUAGCGUUGUUCGGAAUUACUGGGCGUAAAGCGUACGUAGGCGGUUAUUCAAGUCAGAGGUGAAAGCCCGGGGCUCAACCCCGGAACUGCCUUUGAAACUAGGUAGCUAGAAUCUUGGAGAGGUCAGUGGAAUUCCGAGUGUAGAGGUGAAAUUCGUAGAUAUUCGGAAGAACACCAGUGGCGAAGGCGACUGACUGGACAAGUAUUGACGCUGAGGUACGAAAGCGUGGGGAGCAAACAGGAUUAGAUACCCUGGUAGUCCACGCCGUAAACGAUGAUAACUAGCUGUCCGGUCACUUGGUGACUGAGUGGCGCAGCUAACGCAUUAAGUUAUCCGCCUGGGGAGUACGGUCGCAAGAUUAAAACUUAAAUAGAAUUGACGG